rnacentral:rRNA from 1 species
GCAUAUCAAUAAGCGGAGGAAAAGAAACCAACAGGGAUUGCCUUAGUAACGGCGAGUGAAGCGGCAAAAGCUCAAUUUGAAAACGCUUCGGCGUGUUGUAAGUAAAGUGGUUAGACGCUUUUUAAUAAGUCCCUUGGAACAGGGCGCCAUAGAGGGUGAUAGCCCCGUAUUAAAUUGUCUAGUGUGCUACUUUAGAGCGAGUCGAGUUGUUUGGGAAUGCAGCUCAAAUAGGUGGUAAACUCCAUCUAAAGCUAAAUAUUGCUGGGAGACCGAUAGCGAACAAGUACAGUGAUGGAAAGAUGAAAAGCACUUUGAAAAGAGAGUGAAAUAGCGUGUGAAAUUGUUGGAGGGGAAGGCGAUGGUAGGAAUAAGAGGCUGCGGUUUGAAAUAAUUGUUUUUCGGGCCACGGUCUCCUGAGCCUGCUUUCGCACCCGUCUUGAAACACGGACC